AAUAGAUACCCGGGUAGUCCAUGCCGUAAACGAUGUCUACUAGCCGUUGGGGCCCUUGAGGCUUUAGUGGCGCAGCUAACGCGAUAAGUAGACCGCCUGGGGAGUACGGUCGCAAGACUAAAACUCAAAUGAAUUGACGGGGGCCCGCACAAGCGGUGGAGCAUGUGGUUUAAUUCGAUGCAACGCGAAGAACCUUACCUGGCCUUGACAUACAGAGAACUUUCCAGAGAUGGAUUGGUGCCUUCGGGAACUCUGAUACAGGUGCUGCAUGGCUGUCGUCAGCUCGUGUCGUGAGAUGUUGGAUUAAGUCCCGCAACGAGCGCAACCCUUUUCCUUAUUUGCCAGCACUUCGGGUGGGAACUUUAAGGAUACUGCCAGUGACGAACUGGAGGAAGGCGGGGACGACGUCAAGUCAUCAUGGCCCUUACGGCCAGGGCUACACACGUGCUACAAUGGUCGGUACAAAGGGUUGCUACUGCGCGAGCAGAUGCUAAUCUCAAAAAGCCGAUCGUAGUCCGGAUCGC
rnacentral:rRNA from 1 species